GACGAACGCUGGCGGCGUGCUUAACACAUGCAAGUCGAACGGAAAGGCCCUGCUUUUGUGGGGUGCUCGAGUGGCGAACGGGUAAGUAACACGUGAGUAACCUGCCCUUGACUUUGGGAUAACUUCAGGAAACUGGGGCUAAUACCGGAUAGGAGCUCCUGCUGCAUGGUGGGGGUUGGAAAGUUUCGGCGGUUGGGGAUGGACUCGCGGCUUAUCAGCUUGUUGGUGGGGUAGUGGCUUACCAAGGCUUUGACGGGUAGCCGGCCUGAGAGGGUGACCGGCCACAUUGGGAUGGAGAUACGGCCCAGACUCCUACGGGAGGCAGGAGUGGGGAAUAUUGCACAAUGGGCGGAAGCCUGAUGCAGCAACGCCGCGUGCGGGAUGACGGCAUUCGGGUUGUAUACCGCUUUCGCCUGUGACGAAGCGUGAGUGACGGUAAUGGGUAAAGAAGCUCCGGCUAACUACGUG
rnacentral:rRNA from 1 species